AGGUGGCUCCCGACAGGGGCCCUUUAGGAACUACCAGGACUGCGGGAGGAGGCUGACGCUGACCCUUUCUAGAAACCAUCAUAGACAGCAGUGGGCAGAAGUAGGAGACUGUCUCUGGCUCUUGGAGGAGGUGGUGGACAGAAGCCAGGCAGCCUGCCCAGGGGAACGGCUGACCGUUCAGAAGGUGGUCUGAAGAGUCUCCUGGUGAACUCUACAGCUCAAGCUGGAGUGUCCGGAGCAGCGUCAGGCACCUGGGCACAACAUGCUCACCUCCGAGUCCCCACUUGCUCCGCUACUCCAGGCCCUGGCCGGCAGAUCUGGUGACAUGUCCUGGAGGGCAGGAGGGCCAGGUAUACUUGCCCUCCCCCUAGGCUCCCUCUGCCUGUCCUCUGAAGCCUGCCAUCUUGGCUAGGGACAUUCCUAACACAUGGCCACGUGGGGGAACUUCCUACGGGUGGCUCCAGGCUUCCUGUGGGUAGUUAUCUCUCACUUCUCGGGAGCUCUGACCUCGCUGGACUGUCGUGCUAUUGGUGGAGAGGACGGUGGAGGACAAGGACAGGAGAGUGAAGCCCCCAAGGAGGGGGCACGAGGCCCUGGGCAGCCACAGGGGCCAUGGCAAGGGCAGAGUGGUCACAGCCCGCUUGGAGACCUCCCACUAGGACCUGAGGCUCCCCUGUAGCCCGGGAUCUCCCUGCUGGAGAGCGAGCACUGUGACCCGUCCCCAUGGAUCUGCACAGAGCUGCUUCCUCGCUGCUGCCUUGUGAGUUCUUCUGCCCACUCCCGUCCUCCACCCCCCAGGCCUCCCUCCUUCCUUGCUGAACUUUCCUUCUACGCAUCCUGCACCCACCGGGCUCUCCGUGGCCCAUGAUGACGGAGCUGACCGACAGAGCCUGGAGAGACUCAGCCCCUGAGGGACGCAGACUAGCACUGUCCACCAAGGGCGCAGCGUCCCCGAGGUACUUUCCACACACACCAGGAUACAACCCCGCAUAUUAGGGGACACCAACGUACCCACUCUAUGAAUCAGGAGCCCGAGGCUCAGAGGGGUGAGGACUUUUCCAAGGGCAGCCCACUAGCGAGGGCAAGUUGAGCAGAGCUCAGGUCCUUGGCUCCUGCUGAGAACUUGCCCACUGAGCCUCAGCCCCGCAGUCCGGCACUCGCCCACCCUGACAGUCUUCCUGGGACCAGCCGCUGCUCCUCCUCACUUCUCCCCCACGCCCACGAGCGCUCACCUGGGUGGUCCAGAUGGGACACUAUGAGGUAGAUGGCGAAGUCCAGGAAGGAGCAGUUGCACUUCCAGGGGUUUCCACUCAGGUGCAGGGUCUGCAGCACUGCGAGGUGGUGGAAGGCCUCGUAGUCCAGGGUCUGCAGGCCGGUGUUCCUGAGGUCCAGGUGCCUCAGGGAGCUGGUGUUGGCGAAGGUGUACUUGUGGAGAGACAGCAGACGGGGGUUGUUGGCGAUGCUCAGCUGCACCAGGUUGCUGAGCACGGAGAAGCUGAACGGGGAGAUGGAGGUCAGGUUGUUGGAGCUGAGGUCCAGGUAGAUGAGCUUGAAGACCCCGAUGAAGGUGUAGUCCAUGACCUCUCGGAUCCGGUUGUGCUGGCAGUCCAAGUAGACCAGGUCGCUGAGGAGUCCCAGGGGCAUGGCUGGCAGGCCAGUGAGCUUGUUGUUGUUCAAGUACAGCCUCCGGGUGUCCAGGGGGACGUUGAGGGGGUAUUCUGUUAACUGCAUGCCCGUGCAGAUCACUUCCUGGGCUUGACACUGACAGGUAUUCGGACACUUUGACCCCGAUACCAGCCCCAUUCCGAAGGAAAAGAGCAACCACCGGGGGCCCGCGCCCCAAGCCAGGGCCAUAGUAAGGAGCCAGGACUGCCCUUGUUCCACUUCCUGGGCUCCCUCCGUCCUCUGGUCUGAAGGCUGCCCCGGGCGGGUGGGGGAGGGAUGCUGGAAGGAACUGUAACACUCUAGCUUUGUGCGAAGCAAUUUUCCAUUACAGGAGAGCUGAGCAGAAGUUGAAAUGCGAGGCCCGGUGCCCUGCCGCCCAGCGCGGCGGCUCUCGGCCCCAGCCUGCUGCUGGAAGCUGGCCCACUUGGCGGCUCUGAAAGGUCUCACCCUUUCCCUGCGUUUGCAAGUGAAGGGGAGCCAGGGGAGAGCCACAUGACAGUGAGGUUGCCAGUUGACACCUUUGUGAUGUCAGCAGCCCGGGGGACUGCCCGGCUGAGGGAGAGGCGCACCUCCUCUGGGCGCUGUGUGCGUCCGGACUUGGAGAUCCUGAGUGCCUCCUGGUACGAGUUCCCACUCACUACUCCCUGGAGGAUGACGGGAGCUUGGAGGGAGGGUCGGAGUCUGCGGCAUCAGCACAGGAUGCUCACCUGUGGGAGAGGACACCCGGACGAGACCAAGACGGAGCGUCUCAGGAGUUAGAAUCGUAUUUCUGGGGAAAUGGGAUUUUAUUCCUUAAAAUGUUCACAUGUAACUUGGCGAGCCUGCACCUGCGGCCUGCGUCCGUCCAUUUCCAGCCUUCUUGUCCAGGCGGACGUUUUAAGACGCAGCCGUGCCUCAGGCCGGAGUGCUAGCAAAGCGUUGUGGACGGCCAGCCUCCAGCAACGCUCCUGCGGCUCGAGGUAGCGGGGCAGCGAUGGUCCCGAAGCCUGAGCACUGUGGGGCUCACUUCCACUUUGCCAGGCUGGACCAGAUCCCUGAAAUGGGUCCCUCCGUCAGACUGAGCAAAUAUCUGUUAAAUGAAGAAUGAACAGACAGAAGAAGGGGGACGGGAGUGUGCCAUUUCCCAAAUCCCCUGAUCUCAGAAACUAAAAAACAAACCCAAAAAACAAAAAACAAAAAAACACUCUUUCUCCCCCAGAGAACAACUUGCAUGAUUAUUUUUCUCAGAAAUCUUGCUCUGGGAGGGUCUGGAUCAGGCUGUUUGCCCUUGGUUGAGUGGCUCAACUUCUCUGGGCUUUAUUUUCUCAUCUACCCGUCUU